rnacentral:miRNA from 1 species
AUAACCUAGGUAUCUUGUUAAAAUGUAGAUUCUGGGUCAGUAGAUCUGAAGUGGGGCCUGAGAUUCUGCAUCUCUAACAAGCUCCCAGGUGAGGC